GGACAAAAUCAGCAUUGAGGAAACAUCUGACAACUGGCUGUGGAGAGAGCAACUCAUUUCUCUACUUCUCAGUAAGGUCUCUGACAGUAGACAACUGGAAUUUCAAGCAAGAUGGCAUCUGUUUUGAAAUGAAGAUGCUGGUAGUGAGAGUGACAGUAGCAGCAGCUGUAGCAGCAACAGCAAUGGGGAGACUGAGCAGAUCAUACAGAGUCAGGGGGCAAUUAUGAAGAAAAAGAAGAGCCACAAUUAGCCCUGAAGGAUUUGGUUGACUCUCAUGGAGGAAACACAAAAGUCACAAAUUAGAGGAUGGAGAUGAAAUAGUUA